rnacentral:rRNA from 1 species
CGUGACCCCAAGUUAGGUGGGGUUAGUCGCUGAGUUUAA